GGAUGUGAGGGCAAUCUGGCUGCGACAUCUGUCACCCCAUUGAUCGCCAGGGUUGAUUUGGCUGAUCUGCCUGGCUAGGCGGGUGUCCCCUUCCUCCCUCACCGUUCCAUCUGCAUCCCUCCUGAAGCACUUGGUGGAAGAGGACUGCCAUCCCAGAUAGAAGGAGUGUACCGGUCUUCAGUCAAGGGUAUAUGAUAGCUGCGCUCCCCUGCUAGAACCCUCCAAACAAGCUGAAGGACAUCUGGGAUCCUAAGGCUGGGAGCCACUGGUUUAGAGAAAGCUUAGAAAUGCAAAAUGCAGGUGUGUUGUGCUUAGGGCAAGAAACAGACCUUAAUCCCUUCCUCCUCUUU
rnacentral:snRNA from 1 species